rnacentral:snRNA from 1 species
AUCUCUUCUCGGCCUAAUGGCUAAGAUCAAGUGUAGUAUCUGUUCUUAUCAGUUUAAUAUCUGGUACGCCGGCACAGUCCGGCUCAUAUAUUAAUCUGAUUUUUGGCAUUAGGUCAUGGGAUCAUAGGUUUACCUUGCCCUGACCACGGGUUGCCUCGGCUUUGCACUACUGCUGAGCGCGGCCCAGAAUGA